GUGAGGAAUAUUGCGCAAUGGAGGCAACUCUGACGCAGCCAUGCCGCGUGCAGGAAGAAGGCGCUACGCGUUGUAAACUGCUUUUAACCGGGAAGAAACCCCAGGACGUGUCCUGGGUUGACGGUACCGGAGGAAUAAGCACCGGCUAACUUCGUGCCAGCAGCCGCGGUAAUACGAAGGGUGCAAGCGUUAUCCGGAUUCAUUGGGUUUAAAGGGUGCGUAGGAGGAGCGUUAAGUCAGUGGUGAAAUCCUGCAGCUUAACUGUAGACUUGCCAUUGAUACUGGCGCUCUUGAGUGCGCUUGAAGUGGGCGGAAUGUGCCGUGUAGCGGUGAAAUGCUUAGAUAUGGCACAGAACACCAAUUGCGAAGGCAGCUCACUAAGGCGAUACUGACGCUGAGGCACGAAAGCGUGGGGAUCGAACAGGAUUAGAAACCCUAGUAGUCC
rnacentral:rRNA from 1 species